GUUGACCUCGGAUCAGGUAGGAAUACCCGCUG
rnacentral:ncRNA from 8 species